CAAUAGUGUCAGUUGGAUCGGAUGGCCCCCUUCAGUCACAAUGACUUUUCCAGAGGUGGGGCCCAUGGGGGAGCAAUCUUCUAAGGCAGCUUGCUCACAGAUGGGGCCAGACUGGGCCUUUUUGAGAAAGCCAUAGCAUUCCCAGCAGCCAAGUCACUUCCAAUUAGUAUGGCAAACAGGGUAUACUGGGUAGGGAAGCUGGGACCCUGUGCCCAAGGAGCCUCCCCUGAACUGCAAAGGAUAGUAGAUGCUGAAACUGGUCCUGUCAGGUACUAUAAGGUAUCUGAUGUUCUCCAGGGACAAGGUGGAUGGGGUCCAACAGGCCUCCAGGAGGGCCAAGGGAUGGCCCAGAGCAGGAGCUGGCCUGGGCUGCUUCCAGAAUGGGUCUGCAGGUGAAUGGAAGACAGAUCCAGUGAAUAGUAUUGCAUGAAGAGGCCCAGGUAUGCUUCCAGGAGCCCUGCUGGCUCUGAGGUGGAAGUCCCAGGUAUCUCCCAUGGAACUUGGAC